rnacentral:rRNA from 1 species
GACGAACGCUGGCGGCGUGCUUAACACAUGCAAGUCGAACGGAAAGGCCCUGCUUUUGUGGUGUGCUCGAGUGGCGAACGGGUGAGUAACACGUGAGUAACCUGCCCUUGACUUUGGGAUAACUUCAGGAAACUGGGGCUAAUACCGGUUAGUAGCUCCUGCUGCAUGGUGGGUGUUGGAAAGUUUCGGCGGUUGGGGAUGGACUCGCGGCUUAUCAGCUUGUUGGUGUGGUAGUGGCUUACCAAGGCUUUGACGGGUAGCCGGCCUGAGAGGGUGACCGGCCACAGUGGGACUGAGAUACGGCCCAGACUACUACGGGAGGCAGCAGUGGGGAAGAUUGCACAAUGGGCGGAAGCCUGAUGCAGCAACGCCGCGUGACGGAUGACGGACUUCGGGUUGUAAACCGCUUACGCCUGUGACGAAGCGUGAGUGAAGGUAAUGGGUAAAGAAGCACCGGCUAACUACGUG